rnacentral:rRNA from 1 species
CCUACGGGAGGCAGCAGUGAGGAAUAUUGGUCAAUGGUCGGGAGACUGAACCAGCCAAGCCGCGUGAGGGAUGAAGGUCCAGCGUAUCGUAAACCUCUUUUGUCAGGGAACAAAGGCGGGGACGUGUCCCCGGAUGAGUGUACCUGAAGAAAAAGCAUCGGCUAACUCCGUGCCAGCAGCCGCGGUAAUACGGAGGAUGCGAGCGUUAUCCGGAUUUAUUGGGUUUAAAGGGUGCGCAGGCGGUCUGUUAAGUCAGCGGUCAAAGCCCGGGGCUCAACCCCGGCCCGCCGUUGAAACUGGCAGUCUUGAGUGGGAGAGAAGUAGGCGGAAUGCGCGGUGUAGCGGUGAAAUGCAUAGAUAUCGCGCAGAACUCCGAUUGCGAAGGCAGCAUGCCGGCGCCACACUGACGCUGAGGCACGAAAGCGUGGGUAUCGAACAGGAUUAGAUACCCGUGUAGUC